rnacentral:rRNA from 1 species
UACGUAGGGGGCAAGCGUUGUCCGGAAUCAUUGGGCGUAAAGCGCGUGUAGGCGGUCCGGUAAGUCCGCUGUGAAAGUCCAAGGCUCAACCUUGGGAUGCCGGUCGAUACUGCCGGACUAGAGUUCGGAAGAGGAGACUGGAAUUCCUGGUGUAGCAGUGAAAUGCGCAGAUAUCAGGAAGAACACCAAUGGCGAAGGCAGCUCUCUGGGACGGUACUGACGCUGAGACGCGAAAGCGUGGGAGCGAACAGG